rnacentral:rRNA from 1 species
UACGAAGGUGGCAAGCGUUGUUCGGAUUCACUGGGCGUACAGGGAGCGUAGGCGGUUAGGUAAGCCCUCCGUGAAAUCUCCGGGCCUAACCCGGAAAGUGCAGAGGGGACUGCUUAGCUAGAGGAUGGGAGAGGAGCGCGGAAUUCCCGGUGUAGCGGUGAAAUGCGUAGAGAUCGGGAGGAAGGCCAGUGGCGAAGGCGGCGCUCUGGAACAUUUCUGACGCUGAGGCUCGAACGCGUGUGGAGCAAACAGGAUUAGAUACCCUGGUAGUCCACGCAAUAAACGAUGGAUACUAAGUGUCGGCGGGUUACCGCCGGUGCCGCAGCUAAAGCAGUAAGUAUCACGCCUGGGAAGUACGGCCGCAAGGUUGAAACUAAAAGGAAUUGACGG